rnacentral:rRNA from 1 species
UCAGACGAUGCGUCAUGUAUAUCAAUAAGCGGAGGAAAAGAAACUAACAAGGAUUCCCCUAGUAACGGCGAGUGAAGCGGGAAGAGCUCAAAUUUGAAAUCUUAAAGGGUUUCCCUUUACGAAUUGUAGUUUAAAGAAGUGUUUUCUGUUGAGGUUUUGGUAAAAGUUCUUUGGAAUAGGACAUCAUAGAGGGUGAGAAUCCCGUAUAUGACCUUAUGAUUUGUAACUUUGUGAUACACUUUCAAAGAGUCGGGAUUGUUUGGGAAUGCAGUCCCAAAAUGGGUGGUAAAUUUCAUCUAAGGCUAAAUAUUGGCGAGAGACCGAUAGCGAACAAGUACCGUGAGGGAAAGAUGAAAAGAACUUUGAAAAGAGAGUUAAACAGUACGUGAAAUCGUCAAAAGGGAAGCGUUUGACACCAGUGUUGUUUUUCUGAAAAUCAAUUAAAGAACUGUUUAUGCUAAGCUGUUUAGACUUUAUCAGCUAAUCUGUUUAGUUUUGAGCUUCUCUUUAAUGCACUUUUCAGUUAACAAGUCAACAUCAAUUUCUUUUGCUGUAAAAAAGCUUGAGGAAGGUGGCUUGAGAUUCGUCUUAAGUGUUUAUAGCCUCUUGCCUAUGCAGUCGGAGAGAUUGAGGUCUGCAGCGUAGAUCCUUCGGGGCUAAAUGCAUUUGUGCUAAGUUAUAGCAUUUUAUAGACAACUUGUUGACUAUGAUUUGUCUUGUAGCUUACUCGCUUAUGUUAUUUUACCUACGCUUAGGAUGUUGAGCGCAUGUCUCUCUCU